UACGAGUGCCUCAAGCGUUAUCCGGAAUUAUUGGGCGUAAAGGGUGUGUAGGCGGUAUGGUUAGUCUUUUGUUAAAACUCCCGGCUCAACUGGGAAUAUGCAAAGGAAACGGCCAUUCUAGAGGAUGCGAGAGGUGAACAGAACUCAUAGUGUAGGGGUGAAAUCCGUUGAUAUUAUGGGGAAUACCAAAUGCGAAGGCAGUUCACUGGCGCACUCCUGACGCUGAAACACGAAAGCGUGGGUAGCGAAUGGG
rnacentral:misc_RNA from 1 species